AACGCAAGUUGCGCCCGAGGCCUCUUGGCCGAGGGCACGCCUGCCUGGGCGUCACGCCAAACACGCUCCCACCCCACUAACCUGGAGCGGGACGCGGCAUGUGGCUCCUCGUCUCGCAAGGGGCGGUGGGCCGAAGAUCCGGCUGCCGGCGUAUCGUGUCGGACCCAGUGCGUGGUAGGCGACCUCGCUUUACUAAACGCAGUGCAGCCGGCGCGUAGCCGACGCGAUGGCCUCAAUGGACCCUUUUAACGGAGUGCAUGACGCUUGGACCGCGACCCCAGGUCAGGCGGGACUACCCGCUGAAUUUA
rnacentral:misc_RNA from 1 species